CCUACGGGAGGCAGCAGUGGGGAAUAUUGCACAAUGGGCGAAAGCCUGACGCAGCUAUUCCGCGUGUGGGAUGAAGGUCUUCGGGUCGUAAACCUCUUUAAUCGAGGACGAAAAGUCACUGUGCUAAUCAUCGGUGAAUUGACGGUACCUUCAGAGUAAGCACCGGCUAACUACGUGCCAGCAGCCGCGGUAAUACGGAGGGUGCGAGCGUUAAUCGGAAUUACUGGGCGUAAAGCGCGAGUAGGCGGUUGGUUAAGUCAAGGGUGAAAUCCCCGGGCUGAACGUGGGAACUGCCUAUGAGACUGGUUAACUAGAGUGCGUCAGAGGAUGGUGGAAUUCCAGGUGUAGGAGUGAAAUGCGUAGAUAUGUGGAGGAACAUCAGUGGCGAAGGCGACUAUCUGGCACAUAACUGACGCUGAGAAGCGAAAGCGUGGGUAGCAAACAGGAUUAGAUACCCCAGUAGUC
rnacentral:rRNA from 1 species